CUUUUUUUCCCCAUCAAAUAGCUUUUGAAUCGGCGCUCGCAAAAUGAGGUAUCGAACAUCAAUUAAGACAACAUUG